UGACCAGAGCCAGCCCAGAGCUCCCCAGGCCCCUCUGCAGCUCUGGCCAUGUCCAUUGACAUCUGGCUCCCACAGCCUUACCCAAACCCCUCGCAGUGCCCAGUUCCCUAAGGCAGAAGGGGAUCCCAGUGCACCAUGGCCAUGGUUCUGAUCUGUGCUUCUUUCUAGAUUGGGAUCAUGACUUGAAUUAUUUGGGAUUGCUGGUGAAUGAGACUUUGAAAAUCUCGGAGAAUGCUGGAGCCAAGCCUCUUGGUGAAGGUGAUCUGGCUUCCCAACCCACAUCCAGGACUGAGGCUCUGGGAGAUGGCGAGGGUGUGCCUGCAGGGAGGACUUUCCCAGCUCCUGGGUUGGUAACUGUACGCAAGCCCGGCUCCCAUCGCAGGGGUCCUCCAAGUGGAAAGAACAAAGCUGCAGGACACCAGAAACCCCAUGUGCCAUCCAAAAUCACUCCGCAAAUGCUGAAGGAAAUGCUGCAGGGAGGACAAGGUGGGUCCAUGUCCCU